rnacentral:lncRNA from 1 species
ACGGGAACACUCAUUUAGUCAUCACGUUCAAGUAAAUAUAUUGACGAAACAAUUUACAAUCUCAGUUCAACAUUUGCUCCUAAAUAUGAAACUUGUAUACGGUGCUAAAUCUGAAGCAUUUGCUCUGCUCAAUCUGAUACUUGACAAGCUCAGUAUGUUGUAACGUGCCCAAUCUGAAACUUGGCAAUGCUCUGCUCAAUUUGAGCAUCGCGUAGUGCGACUUCUGGCCUUGUGUACAUGUUGGUCGCCCUUCAUCCAUGGACGGCAUACCUCGUUAAGCGAGGCGGCUCUUGCUUGGCGCUUUCCGUGGCGAUGCGAGCUCAACAGUGUGUAUCUGCACACAAACAUAGACAACAUGAAAAGCAACCUUUUGUACAACUACGGAGGCACAUCAUAAUGAGCAAAGAAAGGGAAUGGAUACAACAACCAUGGAGGGGAAAGGGGGAGGUACCUCGCCACCACUGUGUGGCCGACCUGAUGUGUGUCACUUCUGAUCUGGUGACUAUAUGACAAUUAGCAAAGCAAAGCACGGAGGACAGGGUGAGGGCAGCGGCCUGGGGCCUGUACACUGUCACGCUCUGCGGCUCCGCAGCGGUACAGAGGCUACUACGAUGGAGGUAGCUUCUGCCCAUGGCGACGAGCGACAACGACGGUACGGGACGUAGGAAAUGAGUGACCGUGCAGGAUGCAGAUGAGGAAAUGGACACGUGAAAUUCCAUCUCUA